rnacentral:misc_RNA from 1 species
UACGAAGGGCCCGAGCGUUGCGCGGAAUUACUGGGCUUAAAGGGUGCGCAGGCGGACCUGCAAGUACCUUGUGAAAUCCCACAGCUCAACUGUGGAAUUGCAGGGUAUACUGCAGGUCUUGAGCCCGGCAGAGGCCAUCGGAACUCUAGGUGGAGCGGUGAAAUGCGUAGAUAUCUAGAGGAACGCCAAAGGUGAAGACAGAUGGCUGGGCCGGUGCUGACGCUCAGGCACGAAAGCGUGGGGAGCGAACGGG